AGAAUACUUCUUUAUUGAAUCAGUGAACGUGACACAUAGUGGGGAGUAUAUCUGUGUAUCUAAAAACAAACAAACUAGGAACACCUAUGUCAGGGUCCUUGAAAAUGACAAAAUCGACAUAUUGCAGGUGAAUGAGAACAACAGCAUACUAGCACGAAAUAAGGCAAGCUUCUGCUUCCAGGCUCUGGUGUUCUCCUACCCAAAAGCCCAGUGUCACUGGAUUACACCAAAUCAAACCAAAAUACAGUGCCGAGAGACUCAUUACCAUCAUUUUAAUAGUACAUUUAAGCUGUGUAACCCUGAACCAGGCCAGUAUCAAAUGAAACUAAAGAAUCAGCACUAUAGUGUCAUAAGGAGUAUGUCUCUCUGCAUUUCAGACGAUCCUAAAAUUGCAAUAAAAUUACACAAUGAUUCAAAUGUCGUCUCUUGUGAGACUGAAAGCUCCCUACCUAUGACUGUAUCCUGGAAGAUCUGCCCAUUACAUACCAAUUGUAAUAAUGAAGGUUGGAAAGAGAUACCUGUUGCCCAGCCCAAGGUCAUAGAUUCAGAUCAGUUCUGUCAGAAGAAAAUUUACUUUGCCAGACCCAGAUCAAACAGCGAGGACCAUUUUAUGAAAUGCUGCAUCUCUAACAUAGCAGGGACUGAAUGUAGUGACCAAAUACG
rnacentral:lncRNA from 1 species